UCGUAGGUGAACCUGCGGAGGGAUCAUUACCGAGUUUACAACUCCCAAACCCCUGUGGAACAUACCAAUUGUUGCCUCGGCGGAUCAGCCCGCUCCCGGUAAAACGGGACGGCCCGCCAGAGGACCCCUAAACUCUGUUUCUAUAUGUAACUUCUGAGUAAAACCAUAAAUAAAUCAAAACUUUCAACAACGGAUCUCUUGGUUCUGGCAUCGAUGAAGAACGCAGCAAAAUGCGAUAAGUAAUGUGAAUUGCAGAAUUCAGUGAAUCAUCGAAUCUUUGAACGCACAUUGCGCCCGCCAGUAUUCUGGCGGGCAUGCCUGUUCGAGCGUCAUUUCAACCCUCAAGCCCCCGGGUUUGGUGUUGGGGAUCGGCGAGCCCUUGCGGCAAGCCGGCCCCGAAAUCUAGUGGCGGUCUCGCUGCAGCUUCCAUUGCGUAGUAGUAAAACCCUCGCAACUGGUACGCGGCGCGGCCAAGCCGUUAAACCCCCAACUUCUGAAUGUUGACCUCGGAUCAGGUAGGAAUACCCGCUGAACUUAAGCAUAUCAAUAA
rnacentral:rRNA from 1 species